CAUCGUUUACGUUUAAACAAUAAAAUAUUAAAAUUAUGAAAAACAUCGGAUUUGAUGCUUCUUGGUCUAAAUAACACCAAAUGUAGUCAGAUUUCAGUGUAUUUAGGUGAGUUUUGGCACUUUGUAGUUUGAUAUUGUCCACAGAAAAAGUUUGCGUGGCUGCCGCACAUUUUCACGCCAGCGAAAAAGUGUGCGUAUAUUUACGCAAACGUUGACGCAAAGUUAAUUUUUAUGCAUGCCGACUUGUGCAUAAAAUAUGGCGCCGCACAUUUUUUGUGCGCACGCUUUAUGCAUGAGACCCCUGAUCAUCACAAGCAGAACAGGCAGAGGAUGUAUCUUAUCCAAGGAUAAGAUAGGGAAGGAUGAAGAUAGGGUUCGAACCGACAACCUACUGGUCACGGAACAAACUACUACCACUAUCACCCAAAGUGUGACUAUGUUAGUUGAUGCUACCAUUAAAAAUUCAUAUGUGGCCCUCAGAGUGAAACUUUACUUGCAUUUUGUAUGGCUAUACAAAAAACAAAAAAAGUGAACUGUUUGAAAUUAUGCAGUUACCAAAAUCUGUUUUAUGCAGCUAAUAUAAAGUCACAACGCCAUUAAAAUAAAAUGACUAAAUUAUCUUAAGUGUCAGUUCAAUGUUUAUCUGAAGCUUUGUAGCAGCACUGGUCUUAAAUAACUGAGGAACACAUUUCCAAGAGCCAAACUGAAAUAGGAAUCAUUGAAAUUUAUCUCGAUGUGGCAGAAAUCUUUUUAGAAACGAUGGCAAAGUAAACAAAAGUUAUUUCCAUUUUAUAAGUGGAGUGUCGCAUGUCAAAUUGUUUUUCAUCAAUGAAAGAUAGACAUUUUUAGGUUUGAAAUUGUCCUGUUCAUUCAUGGAAUACCAGUAAAAACAAGAGCCAGACAGAGAGUCCAGAGAGUUUCUAAGUUUCUGGUCUUCUGUUUGUUUGUUGUGGAGGACUAUAAGCCGAUCAAAGGAAGGUGGGUGUAGGCUGUAGUCGCUGGUUCUUGACAGCAAGUGAUCGUCUCAGCUUUGCUCUAAAGAAAGCAAGGGCUUUAAUUUAUUCCCUCUCAACUCACGCUCUCUGUGUCGGCCUGAGUGUUGUGGAAAGUGCUCAGAUCAUAUGUAAAGCUGUUUUAUGCUAAUGUGUGUCUGUGAAUGUGUACGCACGUUGUUAUAGACUUGUCACACCAGCGUACACAAACUGCAUCAGAGCCUCUCCACCUGGCUGACACCUUGUGUUGCUGCUGCUUCUUUUCCUUCCACCGAUCCAGACAAGGUUUAGGACAAAUGGAAGACCUCUUCAUAGCACUCUGAAUAUCAUGACCCAAAAAUGCCAACCAGAGUACAUCAUCACCAUGAGCAAAGACAAGACCCCAAGGUUUCCAGACCAGACAUCAGUGUCCACCAUAAACAGUGUCCAAGACAAGAUGCAACUCUGGCAUACACAAUGCUUUCAACCAUGUUCCAUUAAAGAUAAGGUUUUUCAGAAACACUCAUAGAAGAGCCUGUGAUACUUUUUACAGAGUCACAAAUUAAUCAUCUCUAUACAUUUUAUGAAAGGAAACUAUAGAGUUUUUGCUUUAAAAGUGUGUCAACUGCUAGUGAUGUGCUUCAACACUAAGUAUGGCAAAGUUUGGACCUAUUACCUUAGGAAACUCAACAGCUUCCUGAAUCCUAACCCAGUUAAGCUAAAUAAAAAAAAUGCCACAGAGAGCAUUUUCUGAAAGUGCCAGCUUUCUUCACAAGCCAAAUCACAAAUGUGUGUUUUGAUUCACUUGGAGAUGGCUGAAGUGACCAGGCGUCUGGCGGCUGUGAGGUAGUGUUAAACACCAUGUGAGGGAAACAUCAAGGCCUUUAGCACUCCGUCUGUUGACCACUUGGCCAAAAAAAUGCAUCUUUUUGCACUCUGUCUUUCUCACACCUCUCGGUAAUGUGAUACAAUCGUUUUAUUUAUUUAUUUAUUUUUUUUUGGAACUGAUCCUUUUAUUAAAUUACAUAGAGCAUUUGGAAUAUUGCAAAAUACACCAUUAAAAAAUUAUUCAUAUAGGACUAAGUAUCUCCAGAGCUCUCUUAAGCAAAGUAUACAGAGCCUAAGUUUUCCCAAGCUCAUUUUCACAGUUUGCCAAAUCAACAAAAGUGGUUGGAAGGAGAAUUCCUGAUUUGCAGCAUUUAUUUGAAGAAGCUUUGUGAAUGGUGGGCAGAUGGAGAACUCGCCGCGGCUGCCAUUACAAAACAUUUAGAGGCCGGCUCGCCAAGUUAGCGCCUGGUCUCAGACAUUUGUUUACUGAGGAAUGGUCCGAUGUAACUGUACUUUUUCCUCCAUGCAUCUUGGCAACACUUUGCUUUGGAAAAUCCUGACUUACACUCAACACACUGGUCCUUUUGUGCCCUGGUUUUUACACUUUUUUGUCCAAUCCAAGGGCUUUUCACAGGAAUGUUGAGCUGUUUUACUUUAGUUGUCUCUUAUCUUUCCCUUUGAAUUAAAUUUCCAGUUUAAGGAGGUUAAGGCAUAGAAUAUUUUACAACAAACGCUAAAAUCAGGGUCUGCCAAUUGUUCUGAGAGACAUGCAACUCAUUCCUAAUGAUCACUGAGUAUUUUUUCUUGCUCUUUCUGACCUCCCACUAAUCAGACCAUUUAUUUUGACUGAAUUUGAGCUUAUUUUGAUUCACCAGUGCUAAAAUAUUUUACGAAAUAUGUAGAAUAAAAUAUAUUCUACAAUUGGUUGGAUUUAAUUUUAAAGAGAAAAUCUUAAUGAUGACUCUUGCACUGCUUUUCAAAUAUGUUAUGAUCCAGUCAUAUCCAGUCAUAUUUUGGUUAUGUAGAUCAUGGUGAGUGUGGCAGGUUUUUCACUCCCUCUGAAAUGGAAGUGAGAAAUGUGGGUAUAAUGCAAAACAUAAAGUGUUGGCAUCAUAAAGAUGUCUGUUGAUGUCUAACUUUAAAAAAAAAUAAAAGUUCUAAUUCAUCCAUUGUGCCUACCAAACCUGAUUCUUUGUUAGGUUAGUUUAAGUUUGGAUGGAAAAUGUAAUCUAAAUUGUCAAUUUAAAUUGUAAACUUGGAUUGCUACUUGCAUUCAGUAUGAAGAAUAUAUUUCAGUGUUGAAAUCCAGGUUCCAACUUUUCAUCCGCAAAGAAUUAUUGGCUCUUCUUUAAUUUACACAACUUUCAGUGCAUCUUUUGAAAAGGCAAUUGAACCUCACAAAUUAUCUACAAAGACCUGCAAAAUAGGAGAAAAAAAAAUCUAAAAAACAUUAUCAGGUAACCAUUUUCAAUAUCUAGGAACAUUAUAAGAGUUAUUUUCAUACCAACUUAAAAGAAACUCAUAGGAAAUAAUGCCUUAAUCAUAUCAGUAAUGUUUUAGAGAAAAUAUCUGUCUUUCAUUUUCAAUUUAAACUUGGUGAUUGUGUGCAGUCCAUCUUUCAUGUUUUUUCUGAACCAGGAAUCCUGACCAGACUCCAGCUCCCCAGUACUGGAACUGGAUGAUGUGCCAAUUAUGCCUGAGGUGUGUGCAGGGUUUUGGUCUCAGAGGUCCAUGCACCACAUCCUGCCGGGCUUCAUGCAUCAUUGUGAGAGGUUGGCCAUCGGGUGAUGAAGCAUCCAUUCAGCCCUUCCUGGGGCCCUCCUUUGGCCCCUCCCUUCUUCCUAGUGACACGCUCACACAGUUGGACAUGAGAGAUUGUCGCAGAAGCUGCAGGGUGCUGGAGAAACACUCCACUUUAAUGCAUUUGUGAAAUACACAAACACUCUGAGAACAAGUCAAAGCAAAGCAUAAAAGGUCUUUGUGUCUAUCCUGCUUA